UACGAAGGGGGGCUAGCGUUGCUCGGAAUCACUGGGCGUAAAGGGUGCGUAGGCGGGUCUUUAAGUCAGGGGUGAAAUCCUGGAGCUCAACUCCAGAACUGCCUUUGAUACUGAGGAUCUUGAGUCCGGGAGAGGUGAGUGGAACUGCGAGUGUAGAGGUGAAAUUCGUAGAUAUUCGCAAGAACACCAGUGGCGAAGGCGGCUCACUGGCCCGGUACUGACGCUGAGGCACGAAAGCGUGGGGAGCAAACAGGG
rnacentral:rRNA from 1 species